rnacentral:rRNA from 1 species
UACAGAGGGUGCAAGCGUUAAUCGGAAUUACUGGGCGUAAAGCGUGCGCAGGCGGUUUUGUAAGUCAGAUGUGAAAUCCCCGGGCUUAACCUGGGAAUGGCAUUUGGGACUGCAAGGCUGGAGUGCGGCAGAGGAGACUGGAAUUCCUGGUGUAGCAGUGAAAUGCGUAGAUAUCUGGAGGAACACCGGUGGCGAAGGCGGCAUCCUGGACCAACACUGACACUGAGGAGCGAAAGUGUGGGGAGCGAACAGG